ensembl:snoRNA
GUGCAUGUGAUGAAGCAAAUCAGUAUGAAUAGUCAUGAUACUGUAAACGCUUUCUGAUGUA